GGCGGAGAGAACCUCUGGGAAGGAUACCAGACUGUAAAUCUGGGGCGUAACAGCAUUGGCGGGUUCGAAUCCCCCCUUCGCCACCA
rnacentral:tRNA from 1 species